UGUCUAUUAAUUGUAGACCAGCAUGAAAGGCAAAAUGAGGGUUUAACUGUCUCUUAUAAUAAAUCAAUUAAACUGAUCUUCCAGUAAAAAAGCUGGAAUACCCCCAUAAGACCAGAAGACCCUGUGAAGCUUAAACUAAACUAUUAAACCCAAUAAUAACUACUUUCGGUUGGGGCGACCUUGGAAAAAAAAAGAACUUCCAAAUACAAUGACUAUAACCCAUUCCUACACCAAGGCCAACAAGCCUACUAAAUCGACCCAGCACAGCUGACAAUUGAACCAAGUUACUCCAGGGAUAACAGCGCCAUCUUCUUCAAGAGUCCAUAUCAAAAAGAAGGUUUACGACCUCGAUGUUGGAUCAGGACAUCCUAAUGGUGCA
rnacentral:rRNA from 1 species